ACUGUCGAUUAAAGCAUAUAGUUUGCGGUUCUCUAAUUUUAAAAAGUAGGGUAAACACUUAUAGAUUUUCCAUAUACAGUUCCGUAACACACCACGCCUACUUUCUGGAUUUGGUAUUAAUCCUUCACCUAUCCGGAAUCAGUUUACUCCGGGUUUACUGUCUGGGAGGCGUCUUUCUUGCUGCUGUGUUCGACGACAGAGCAACUUGGGCUACUUCUAGCAACCACAUAUGACGAUUUUGAGAGAAGUUCUGAGGAUCAGCUGUACGCACAAUAGAAGCACAACUUCAGUGUACAAUUUGAGGUUGCAGUAAUCAUAUAAACAGAUAAGAUUUUAAUGCAACCAUAACAGCACGGACACACAAGAUGAGUGCUAUUGGGAAACUAUCCUUCCACCGGAAGAUUAUCAGAACAUUUCCAACUUUUAAAUAUCAUAUCCGAGGGCAUAGGGUGUCUAUUCCACAAAACUUCACUGACUACGAAAGUAUAAAACAAUACAACCCUCAGAUACCGGAGAACUUUAACUUUGCUAAAGAUGUUCUUGAUGUAUGGGCAGAGCAAGAAAAGAGAGGGCAGAGAGCCGAUGGCCCUGCCCUUUGGUGGGUGAACGACAGAAAAGAGGAAGUGAGGUGGAGCUUUGACGAGUUGGGGUUCCAUUCUAGGAGACUAGCCAAUGUUCUAUCUGGAGUCUGUAGUCUCAAUCAGCAGGACCGGGUCUUUCUAGUACUUCCCAAGGUUCCAGAAUGGUGGCUUGUCAAUGUGGCCUGUCUCAGAACAGGUACAGUGCUUCUGCCAGGAACCUAUCAGCUGACAGCCAGGGACAUCCUCCACCGGCUGCAGACCUCCAGGGCCCGCUGUGUCAUAACAGACGAGUCCCUGGCUCCUGUGCUGGACAGCGUGGCCUCUCAGUGCUCCAGCCUGCAGCACAAAUUACUGGUCUCCCCAACCAAGAGAGAUGGCUGGAUGAACUUUGGAGAUCUGUUGAGAAAUGCGUCGAGCGACCAUGAGUGCGUGAAUACUCGCAGCGAUGACCCUAUGACCAUCUUCUUCACCAGUGGGACCACGGGGUCACCUAAGAUGACUCAACACAGCCACAGCAGUUAUGGGAUAGGCCUUACAGUCAACGGAAGGUACUGGUUGGACCUGACAGAGAGGGAUGUCUUGUGGAACACAUCGGAUACAGGUUGGGCCAAAUCAGCCUGGAGCAGUGUCUUUGCCCCCUGGACCCAGGGAGCCUGUGUCUUCAUCCACCAUAUGCCACGCUUCAACAGUCACACUGUACUAGAGACUCUGUCCAACUACCCCAUAACUACGUUCUGCACAGCUCCAACUGCUUAUCGAAUGCUGGUGCAAGAGGACCUGUCCAAAUAUCAUUUCAACACCUUGCAGCAUUGUCUGUCCGCCGGCGAGCCCAUCAACCCAGAUGUGAUGAGGAAGUGGAAGGACGCCACUGGACUGGACAUCUACGAAGGAUAUGGACAAACUGAAACUGUAUUGAUAGCUGGUACCUUUAAGGGCAUGAAGAUCAAUGCCGGGUCUUUUGGGAAGGCUUCACCAGCGUAUGAUGUGCAGGUGGUGGAUGAAGCAGGUAAUGUCUUGCCCCGGGGAGUUGAGGGGAACAUCGGUAUCAGAGUAAAACCACACAAGCCCUUCUGCCUCUUCACCGAGUACACGGACGACCUUGUGCGGACAGCGGAGUGCUACGUUGGGGACUUCUACCUGACUGGGGACCGGGGCCGCAUGGAUCAGGAUGGCUACUUGUGGUUUGAGGGUCGUGCUGAUGAUGUCAUCCUCUCUGCUGGGUAAAACACUGUGGUCCGGCUGCUGCCCAAAUGCAUUGCAUCCACCAAUGACUGUGUGCCACAACAUCGGCUAUGUAUUUGAGAAUACGAACGCUGCGUUAUCUGACAUGGUACCGUAUUGGUCCGUUUGAGGUGGAGAACGCUUUGAUUGAACACCAGGCCGUGGCUGAGUCCGCUGUGGUCAGCAGCCCUGACCCUAUCAGAGGAGAGGUUGUGAAAGCAUUUGUUGUGCUAACACCGGAGUACAAAUCUCAAGAUCAAGAUCAACUUGUGAAAAAGUUACAGACACAUGUAAAGGAAGUUACUGCACCGUACAAGUAUCCACGAAAGAUAGAGUUUGUGGAGCAGCUACCAAAGACGAUCAGUGGUAAAAUCAGAAGAGUGGAGCUACGGAACAAAGAAUGGGGCCGAUCCUGAGAGUGUUUCAGUUAAAGCCUGUGUAUCCAGUCCAGGUAGCCACUGUGCAUCAACACUGUCGUUGCCUGCUCCUCGGGGAUUCAGGCUGGGUGUUUUGUAAAAACACUUUGUGACAACUGCUGAUGUAAAACAGGCUUUAUAAAUAAAUGUGAUUGAUUCAAGUGUCGUGCUUCGUCUGUGUAGACCCUUAGUCAGGGGUAUCAUGCCACAGCCCACACCACAUCACCACAGGAUAUCACACACCAGGCAGCCAUCCGCAGUUGUAUGAUCAGACCAAACCCAGGCAACAUGCAGUUCUUGUCUCCGUCCUGUCAGAAGGCCCUGAUAGCUUCACCCCUCCCACUUUGUCACUUAUGAUGGGAAAUUGGCAUGAGAAGCUUAACACAACACAGAUGUGCUGACUAACUCUGAAAGAAGGACCAUAGACAGGACUUGUUGCCUGUUACUGAUGGG